rnacentral:tRNA from 1 species
UAUAAAACCAGUCUCGUCUGAAGAUUUACAAUCUUACGCUUUACAAAGCUUUUAAAAU